CAGAUAUUAGUUUAAUAAAAUAUUAAUUUUGGAGAUUAAAGUUAAGAGUAAUUUUAUAUCUGA
rnacentral:tRNA from 1 species